GGACGAACGCUGGCGGCGUGCCUAAUACAUGCAAGUUGAGCGCUGAAGGUUGGUACUUGUACCGACUGGAUGAGCAGCGAACGGGUGAGUAACGCGUGGGGAAUCUGCCUUUGAGCGGGGGACAACAUUUGGAAACGAAUGCUAAUACCGCAUAAAAACUUUAAACACAAGUUUUAAGUUUGAAAGAUGCAAUUGCAUCACUCAAAGAUGAUCCCGCGUUGUAUUAGCUAGUUGGUGAGGUAAAGGCUCACCAAGGCGAUGAUACAUAGCCGACCUGAGAGGGUGAUCGGCCACAUUGGGACUGAGACACGGCCCAAACUCCUACGGGAGGCAGCAGUAGGGAAUCUUCGGCAAUGGACGAAAGUCUGACCGAGCAACGCCGCGUGAGUGAAGAAGGUUUUCGGAUCGUAAAACUCUGUUGGUAGAGAAGAACGUUGGUGAGAGUGGAAAGCUCAUCAAGUGACGGUAACUACCUAGAAAGGGACGGCUAACUACGUG
rnacentral:rRNA from 1 species